UACGUAGGGGGCAAGCGUUGUCCGGAUUUAUUGGGCGUAAAGAGCGUGUAGGCGGCCAGACAGGUCCGUUGUGAAAACUCGAGGCUCAACCUCGAGAUGUCGAUGGAAACCGUCUGGCUAGAGUCCGGAAGAGGAGUGUGGAAUUCCUGGUGUAGCGGUGAAAUGCGCAGAUAUCAGGAAGAACACCUAUGGCGAAGGUAGCACUCUGGGACGGUACUGACGCUGAGACGCGAAAGCGUGGGGAGCGAACAGG
rnacentral:rRNA from 1 species